AUACAUAGGGGACAAGCGUUAUCCGGAUUGACUGGGCGUAAAGGGCGCGUAGGUGGCCUUAUAAGUCAGAUGUGAAAGGUAUCGGCUCAACCGAUAAAUUGCAUUUGAAACUGUAUGGCUUGAGUAUUGGAGAGGCAAGUGGAAUUCCUAGUGUAGCGGUGAAAUGCGUAGAUAUUAGGAGGAACACCGGUGGCGAAGGCGGCUUGCUGGACAGAUACUGACACUGAGGCGCGAAAGCGUGGGUAGCGAACAGGAUUAGAUACCCUGGUAGUCCACGCCAUAAACGAUGAAUGCUAGGUAUUGGGGUUACUCAGUGCCGACGUAAACACAAUAAGCAUUCCGCCUGGGGAGUACGUGCGCAAGCAUGAA
rnacentral:rRNA from 1 species